rnacentral:rRNA from 1 species
AUAAUUUAAUAUGCUAUCACGAAGGGGAUUGAGCUAAUUAAUUAAGUUUGGUAGAACUAUAAUCAUAUGUUGCAGCAUAUGACUUCUAUAAUUAAUUAGGGGUGAUAGGCCUCACAAGACCCCCGAUAUCUUGUUUCCUAGGAAAUAUAUAUAGUAUAAUUUCAAUUUAAGAGUGUUUAGGCUUUUAAAUACUACCAAUUUAAUUAUAGGUAUAAUAAACUACCUAACGGUAAUUAUUUAAGUAAAAUAAAUAUUAAUUAUUUAAGUUUGUAAUAUCUACUAGGAUGUGCAUUGCAAUUGAUUAUGUAACGUUACUGUUAAUAUUAGUAUUACAUCAAAGUUUUUAUAGGAACUCGGCAAAUAACUUCUCAACUGUUUAUCAAAAACAUAGCUAGAUGAGUUGCUAAUAUCUGGUGAUUCCUGCUCAAUGGUUUAGCUAAAUAGCCGCAGUACCCUGACUGUGCAAAGGUAGCAUAAUCAUUUGGCUUAUAAUUGAAGUCUGGCAUGAAAGGAUACAUGGGAAGUGACUGUCUUUAAAAACUUACCAGAAAUUACUAAGUAAGUGAAAAUUCUUACAAAUACUUAAUAGACGAGAAGACCCUAGAAGUUUUGUACACAGUAAUUAAGAUAUUAGUACUAUUUUGUUGGGGCGACAGAGUAGCAGUAAACCUACUCUUAUAGAUUAGAACUAUAUGUUGAGUUAAAUUAAACUACUCUAGGGAUAACAGCAUAAUUUAUUAAAGUUUGUGACCUCGAUGUUGGACUAGGGAUCUUGGCACUUAGAAGGUGCUAUGCCAAGCUCUGUUCGAGCUAUUUUCCCUACAUGAUCUGAGUUCAGACCGGC